UCUAUUGGACGCUCUGCUCUACCAUCGAUCCUUUAUCGGUGCUCUACUUGCGUCUACUCUGUCGGCUACACUUUGUAAUCUUCACAAGCUGUCAGGCAUUCUUUAUGGGCCCCAAAACUCAAUACAGAUCGAAGACACACUUCUAAUUAAACUUUAGAAAUCCAACCACCAUUUGAUCACGCCUGCGAACUCUCCUGGCCGUUGGAUUGUGCAAACAGGGUUGUAGACUGCCCGUAGACC
rnacentral:lncRNA from 1 species